CAGGAGGGCCUUCCGGCUCAAGCUCUUUUCCUCUCAGUGACCAAAUGAAGUGGUUUUGUCUUUGGUGUUUCAAUAAUCUAGCAGUGAGAUCUCAAGACACUUCCCUAGAGAGAUGUUGGCACAAGCAAACACCUGUGUUCCAGACGGAAGGUAUACAGGAAGCAAAGGAGCAAGAAUGAACUCGUGCAAGCCCCUAGAAUUAAUUGAUGCUCCAUUCCGGACAAGUUCACACAACCAAGCCCUGGCAGCUCAUGACAUCAGUUUCUGGAGCCAGAGUUCCUGAGCAUACCACAUCUGUACCAACCUGUCGAGGUGGAAGACUGUGGAAGACGGCUCCUAGGAAGUUUAUAAAUUAUUUUGGGACCUCUGCCUUGGAAGAGGCACAGUGAAAUCAGAGUACUUUGAGGAUGUUUCGGCCUUGCCAUGUUGAACUCUUGGAUAUUCUGACCACUCUGUUCUGACCCCAGGAUACCUUGAUGCUGUUUUUAUAGAUAACUAGAUCAGUUAGAUAAAUAUUGAGCAAUGGUUUUGUUAAUACAAAUACAGAGUAAAUAUUUUUAUCUAUUUAAUUUCUUUUGUGGUAUAACAUCGAUCAUGUGUGUGUAUGUGUGUUAUGUAUGUUGUGUGUGUGUGUGUGUGUGUGUACAUGAGUGAGGGCAUGUACCUGACAAGGCAUGAGCGUGGUGGUUAGAGGAUAAUACUCAACAGUCGGUCCUCACCUUCCACUUCAUGU